rnacentral:rRNA from 1 species
ACGUAGGUGGCGAGCGUUGUCCGGAAUUACUGGGCGUAAAGAGCACGCAGGCGGGGAAAUAAGUCAGCUGUGAAAACCCGGGGCUCAACCCCUAAACUGCAGUUGAAACUGAUUUUCUUGAGGGGAGUAGAGGUAAGCGGAAUUCCGAGUGUAGCGGUGAAAUGCGUAGAUAUUCGGAGGAACACCAGUGGCGAAGGCGGCCUACUGGGCUGUAACUGACGCUGAGGCGCGAAAGUGUGGGUAGCAAACAG